GUGGACGUAGUUCAGUUGGUAGAGCACCAGAUUGUGGCUCUGGUUGUCGCGAGUUCGAGUCUCGUCGUUCACCCCA
rnacentral:tRNA from 1 species